UUAUUUCACUCAAGCAGUUUCUAUUUCAUAAAAACAUUUUUCUCAAUGACUUAUAUUUCAGAAACAAAUGUCAUCACAAAGUCUUUAUCUGUCAAUCUAAACUAGCUGAAGUUGUUUAUGAGACUGGUUGUUUUCUUUGGUCCAAAUGUUUGUUUAUUCAAAUCAAGUCUGUGAUUCAAAUUAAAUAAAAUACACUUGUCUGCAUUUAUUCACAUAAUUCAUAUAAUGAGUUUGGUGGCCUUACUAUAGAUUAUGCUAAGUUUUUACAUCUCUUGUAGCUAUCAGAUUUUCUGUGGUAUCUAUCUUUAUUUAUAGUGGCUCUACAGUGCACUGUUAAUUCAAUAAAUAAAACAGUAAUGACACUGUUUUAUAUAAUUGACACUUGUUGUAAAUGAGGAAAUUAAUAACUCCAGCUUUAAAUAAAUAAAACUACAAAGUAGUUUCUCAUUACAUUAAGGUCACCUGUUAUUUAUGAGCCCCUGUCCUUCAUUUACAUACACCAUCAGCCUUGUGUGAUUGACAGGUGGAUAUCAGCCAGUCAUGCAGUGUAGGCUGGUUUUGAGCCUUACUUACUUUUUGAGGAAAGCUGACAAAGCCCUGACAAACUCCUGCUGGUUGACAUCUUUCACCGUGACACUGGGCAUCUAAAAGACAAAUUGGAGUCAAAGACCGAAAAGGUUUUCAAGAAGUGUGCUGCAGUCAGCAGGCGAGGAGAAAGCACCUCAGUGAGGAAGACACCACCAGUGGAGGAUUAGUAACCCUUUAGGCUAACAUCAUAUGCGGAUUACCAACAGCGUGUGAAACACUGCAUCCAAAGCCAAGAUUGCGCCUCUGAGACAACCUGAACUUUUUCACUGAAGACGUGAUUUUUAUCAGGCCGAGGGCUUUCAUACCAGCUAUCUGUAUUCCUGAGUGAAGGAGUUUGCAGAGUCUCACCUCUUCAUUGACAGCGGAGGUGACAGACAGACCCCAAGGAAUGCCGUGGUCAACCAUAGAAGUUCCCCAGUGAGAAGAGAGCCAUGGGAAAAACCUCAAACUAGAUCCCGGUUGUGAGGAUGCGGUCCAGUCCAUUUUGUGCAGACGUGUCAAGACGGAAAAAAAAAUCAUGUUGGACUGCAUCGGCAUGGAUAAAAAACAACGACGCUGAAAAUUACAACAUUCAAGUCCUGAAGUCAAGAGCCAGGGAACACGCUGAUAGUUACAUUAUGAAAAGACAGCCAAGUGUCAUCACCUUGAAGCUUAUUCAUUUGUAGACAUAAAGCUCCUCACAGCAACUGAAAAUAUUUGUUGUUGUUAGACUUUGAAGAAAAUAUGUUGGUGAGAAAAAAUAUGCGCAUUUUCAUAGGGCAAAUAAUCUACUGAUCAUUUUCUCAAUUAAUCAUUGGGUCCAUAAAAUGUCAGAAAAUAGGGAAGAAUCAUAUUGUUUUGUGCGACUAACAGUCCAAAACUCAGAUAUAUUUAGUUUAUUAUAAUAAGACAAAGAAAAUCAGAAAAUCACCACUGAGAAAAUAUUUGAAAAAUAACCUAAACGAUUAUUUGAAUGUCAAAAUAGUUGCCGAUUCAUUUUCUGUUGAUCGACUAAUUGAUUAAUCAACUGGUUGUUGCAGAUCUACAUUCUCAUCAUUUUUAUGGAUUUGCACCUUGUUCUGUUUUUGAUUAACUGCAAAUAUGACAAUAAAAUUCAAGCAAUGGUGAAAA